rnacentral:rRNA from 1 species
GGAGGGUGCGAGCGUUGUCCGGAAUCAUUGGGCGUAAAGGGCGCGUAGGUGGCCCGGUCAGUCUUUGGUGAAAGCGCGGGGCUCAACCCUGCGUCGGCCAGGGAUACUGCCGCGGCUCGAGCACUGUAGAGGCAGGCGGAAUUCCGGGUGUAGCGGUGGAAUGCGUAGAGAUCCGGAAGAACACCGGUGGCGAAGGCGGCCUGCUGGGCAGUUUAGCUGACACUGAGGCGCGACAGCGUGGGGAGCAAACAGGAUUAGAUACCCUGGUAGUCCACGCCGUAAACGAUGGGCACUAGGCGCUUGGGGGAGCGACCCCCCGAGGGCCGGCGCUAACGCAUUAAGUGCCCCGCCUGGGGAGUACGGCCGCAAGGCUG